UUUAUAUGCAUUAUGUUAUGGAAAGGAGGGAGUAUAAAUCUUCACCUGGGCCGCGGUCUCCUCCUGUACGCAGCCCAACCUCUGAGACCUAUCUCGACCGCACUCCGACGACCGCCCAGCCGCCAAGCCGCCGUCCAGGAGCCAAUCGCCGGCGCGACGCGCCUUCCAUAAGAAUCACUCAAGAUCGAUGAAGAUCCACGUGAGGAUGCUAAACAACACGGCCCACGAUCUCGAGGUCGAGGGCUCGGACACCAUAGGCAGCGUGAAGGCGAAGAUCAUGGAAAAGGAGGGGGUUCCACCGCAGCAGCAGCUCCUCUUCUUCGCCGAUGAGGGGCUGGCGGAUGCCCGGACGCUCGCGGACCAUGGCAUCGAGGACGGGGCCUCGGUUUGCCUGAUCGCCAUCAACAUGCAGGAUUAAUUGGUUUGAUAGAUCGAUGAACGAUUUUCAGUUUUUUUGUAGUUUGUUUACCGUUUUCAGUCGGUUGCAUCGUGUUGUGCAGCCCUAGACAGCUAGUAGUGGUUUACAUGUGCAAUGGUCUAUGGUUGGGUCAGAGAUUAGGUUCUACAGUACAUAUUAUGAUCUGAAACUAGCAGGUUAGACAUUAAUUAGGCAGCCGUGUAUA